GACGAACGCUGGCGGCGUGCCUAACACAUGCAAGUCGAACGAACAGACGAGGAGCUUGCUCCUCUCACGUUAGCGGCGCACGGGUGAGUAACACGUGGAUAACCCCCCUAUCAGACUGGGAUAUAUUCGGGACACCGGAGCUAAUACCGGAUAAUAUCUUGCACCGCAUGGUUCAAUAGUGAAAGACGGUUUUGCUGUCACGUAUAGAUGGAUCCGCGCCGCAUUAGCUAGUCGGUGAGGUCAAGGGUUACCAAGGCAACGAUGCGUAGCCGAGCUGAGAGGAGGGUCGGCCGCACUGGAGCGGGACCACGGCCCAGACUCCUACGGGAGGCAGCAGUAGGGAAUCUUCCGCAGUAGGCGAAAGCCUGGCGGAACGACGCGGCGUGAGUGAUGAAAGUCUUCGGAUCGUAAAACUCUGUUAUUAGGGAAGAACAGAUGUGUAAGUUACUAUGCACGUCUUGACGGUACCUAGUCAAAAAGCCACGGCUAACUACGUG
rnacentral:rRNA from 1 species